UGAGCAAUCUGCCCUUCUCAUCGGAAUAAGCGUUGGAAACGACGUCUAAUGCCGAAUACGACCUCCUUUCGCAUGAUCGGUGGUGGAAAGCUCCGGCGGAGAAGGAUGAGCUCGCGGCCUAUCAGCUAGUUGGUGUGGGUAAUGGCCCACCAAGGCGACGACGGGUAGCCGGCCUGAGAGGGUGACCGGCCACACUGGGACUGAGACACGGCCCAGACUCCUACGGGAGCA
rnacentral:rRNA from 1 species